UACGUAGGGUGCGAGCGUUGUCCGGAAUUAUUGGGCGUAAAGGGCUCGUAGGCGGUUUGUCACGUCAGGAGUGAAAACUCGGGGCUCAACCCCGAGCCUGCUUCUGAUACGGGCAGACUAGAGGUAUGCAGGGGAGAACGGAAUUCCUGGUGUAGCGGUGAAAUGCGCAGAUAUCAGGAGGAACACCGGUGGCGAAGGCGGGUCUCUGGGCCGAUACUGACGCUGAGGAGCGAAAGCGUGGGGAGCGAACAGG
rnacentral:rRNA from 1 species